rnacentral:rRNA from 1 species
CCUACGGGUGGCAGCAGUGAGGAAUAUUGGUCAAUGGGCGUACGCCUGAACCAGCCAAGUCGCGUGAGGGAAGACUGCCCUACGGGUUGUAAACUUCUUUUAUCAAGGAAUAAAGUGCGCUACGUGUACCGUUUUGGAUGUAAUUUGUGAAUAAGGCUUGGCUAACCUCGUGCCCGCCGCCGAGGUAAUAACGAGGGUGCGAGCGUUAUCCGGAUUUAAUGGGUUUAAAGGGAGCGUUGAUCGGUUGUUAAGGUAGAUGGGAAAGGUUGCGGCUAAACCGUAAAAUUGCAAUUGAGAAUGGCAGCCUUGAGUACAGUGGAGGAAGGCGGAAUUCGUGGUGUAGCGGUGAAAUGCUUAGAUAUCAUGAAGAACUCCGAUUGCGAAGGCAGCUGUCUAGGCUGCCACUGACGCUGAGGCUCGAAAGUGUGGGUAUCAAACAGGAUUAGAUACCCGAGUAGUC